AGUCCUUCCCACAGAGAGCGGUUUGAUAUGUCACUGAAACCAGCAUCCAGGUGGUAUUGCUCCAUAUGCCUGAGACCCUAACAAAAGCCUAAUUACAACUCAUAUGCCUGGAGCCAGGACAUGUGCAGGAUGGUGAUGUAACUUUCCUCUCUGGAAUGGGUCCUGCACAAAGGAAUGAUAGUAACAUAUUGCAAAGCCAGACACACAGCCAUGAUGGUCCAAGUUAUAUUGGGAUUCAGCCAAUAGAAGAUAUUUUGCCUGUCAUCCCUAAGCUUAGGACAAUAGGGUCCUGCCCACAAGAAAGAUUGUGACAUCUCACUGGACAAGCACCCACCCAGACUCUGCCAAGAGAGGGGAUUAUUACAUAUUGCAGAGCCCAGCACCUAGGUGGAGUGACUCUCAUCUUUUUCUUCUACCCCGUAUAUAGCCAGCUUGGUGACCUACUAUUUGAGUCUAUACCCAGGCCCAGACCACAGAUGAAAUUGUGCAAUAUGUGGAACAAACACCUAAACAAUAUAUAACACCUUCCUUGGCUCUGUCUACAAAGGGCACUUUUAUAUAUCACUGGGACCAUCAACCAGGUGAUGUUAAUUAUCUUCCUGAAACCUGUCUACAAAGAGAGUUGUGUCGUAUACCUAGGCCCGUCAUGUAAGUGAUGUCAGUCCCUUCUACUGCCUUGGCCCUGCACUUACAGUGCAUUGUGACACAUAACAAGGUACUGCACACAGACGAUGUGAUUCUCCUUUUUGGGUUCUGCCAAAAGGAAGCAUUGUAAUAAAUCGCUUGGCUCAGUACCAAGGUGAUGUUUCUUUGCUUUUGCCUGGGCCCUGAUAACAGGGAGAUUGUGAUCUAUUGCUGGGCCCAACAAAAAUGUGAGGUCACUCUCCAGCCGUGGUACUUCACAUAAGCGCCAUUGUGACAUGUAUCUAGGCCAAUUGCCUAGGUGAAGUGAGUUUCCUCUCUUGCCAAAGUCCUGCCCACAGAGGGGGUUUUGAUAUGUCACUGAAAUCAGCAUUCAGGUGAUGUGACUCUUCUGCCAGGGUCCUGCGUACUAGGUGGAUUGUGACAUCUCACUGGACCCGCAACCAUGUAGGUCAUGUGACUUUCAUGCCUUCUCACUGGCCACAGGUGAUGUUGUGCCAUAUAACUGAGACCGUAUCAAAAGCCUAAUAACAAGACGUAUGUCUGGAGCCCCGAUAUGCACAGGAUGGUGAUAUAACCCUCUUCUCUGGAAUGGGCCCCACACAAAGGAAGGAUAGUGACAUAUUGCAAGCCCAGGCACACAGGCCCAGAGCACAGUUGAAAUUGUGACAUAUGUACACCAAGCAACCAAGCAAUGUAUAACACCUCAUUUGGCAAUGGAAUCGAGGGCACUUUUACAUAUCACUGAGACCAGCGCCCAGCUGAUGUGAAAUAUUGGCCUGAACCCUGCCUACAAAAGCAUUGUGGCUUUUAUCUAGCUCCAUUACAUAAGUGAUGUGACUUCCUUCUACUGCCUUGGCCCUGCACUUAUGGUGAAUCGUGACACAAAAUUGGGUAGAGCAACCAG
rnacentral:lncRNA from 10 species